rnacentral:rRNA from 1 species
AUAAUGGGUCAGCGACUUAUAUUCUGUAGCAAGGUUAACCGAAUAGGGGAGCCGAAGGGAAACCGAGUCUUAACUGGGCGUUAAGUUGCAGGGUAUAGACCCGAAACCCGGUGAUCUAGCCAUGGGCAGGUUGAAGGUUGGGUAACACUAACUGGAGGACCGAACCGACUAAUGUUGAAAAAUUAGCGGAUGACUUGUGGCUGGGGGUGAAAGGCCAAUCAAACCGGGAGAUAGCUGGUUCUCCCCGAAAGCUAUUUAGGUAGCGCCUCGUGAAUUCAUCUCCGGGGGUAGAGCACUGUUUCGGCAAGGGGGUCAUCCCGACUUACCAACCCGAUGCAAACUGCGAAUACCGGAGAAUGUUAUCACGGGAGACACACGGCGGGUGCUAACGUCCGUCGUGAAGAGGGAAACAACCCAGACCGCCAGCUAAGGUCCCAAAGUCAUGGUUAAGUGGGAAACGAUGUGGGAAGGCCCAGACAGCCAGGAUGUUGGCUUAGAAGCAGCCAUCAUUUAAAGAAAGCGUAAUAGCUCACUGGUCGAGUCGGCCUGCGCGGAAGAUGUAACGGGGCUAAACCAUGCACCGAAGCUGCGGCAGCGACGCUGAUGCGUUGUUGGGUAGGGGAGCGUUCUGUAAGCCUGUGAAGGUGUGCUGUGAGGCAUGCUGGAGGUAUCAGAAGUGCGAAUGCUGACAUAAGUAACGAUAAAGCGGGUGAAAAGCCCGCUCGCCGGAAGACCAAGGGUUCCUGUCCAACGUUAAUCGGGGCAGGGUGAGUCGACCCCUAAGGCGAGGCCGAAAGGCGUAGUCGAUGGGAAACAGGUUAAUAUUCCUGUACUUGGUGUUACUGCGAAGGGGGGACGGAGAAGGCUAUGUUGGCCGGGCGACGGUUGUCCCGGUUUAAGCGUGUAGGCUGGUUUUCCAGGCAAAUCCGGAAAACUAAGGCUGAGGCGUGAUGACGAGGCACUAC